ACUAAACCAGGGAUAGUAGUGGUAUAUGGACCUGGUGUGGAAGUGGAAGGGAGUCAGCUGAAACAUCAGCAGAGAAAAACAAUUUGCGUCGUGGAUUCGCAGUUUCGCACCAUUCAGUGGUACUAGUGAUGUUUCUAGUGCGAAAACUAACUGCUCGUAACCCUACUGGCAACGUCCGCUUCUUUUGUGCACCUCCAUCCUCCACACCGUCACCCAACUACAACACCACCAACAACACUACUACUACCAACAACAAACUAUUCGUUGGAGGUCUGUCAUGGGGAGUAGAUGAGAAAUCAUUGACCGAAGCUUUCUCUUCUUUUGGAAAUGUUACAGAAGUGAGGAUUAUCUAUGACAAGGAUUCUGGAAGGUCAAGGGGAUUUGGUUUUGUUCACUUUUCAACAAACAAUGAUGCUAGAUCUGCCAAAGAUGCCAUGGAUGGAAAGGCAUUUUUGGGUCGACCACUACGCAUAAGUUUUGCUCUUGAGAAGGUUCGUGGUGGACCUGUGGUAGUCCCUCGUCUUUCUAAUGUAACAGAUGUUAGUCGCCGAAAUAAUUGAAAUCAACCCGGAACUCAGACAACUAGUGCCCUUCUAGACUGCAUAAAUACACAACACCUCCAUAUUUUUCCAGAUUCAUUGCUGAACCACAAGAAGUUCAAAAAUAUAGGAUAGGAUGGGUUUGCAUGGGGAUGAUCGAGCCAAGACGUGCAAAUAAAAAUAGUUUUUAAGUAGACGACGGAAAAAGAAAUCGUUCGAGGCUAGAAUUCAUUUUAUAUAUUUUGAACAGCAAACUGUUGGAUCCAAUGAUGAUUAUAUAUAGCUUGUUUGUCUAGUUUCUUGGGGAAGCAAGAUUUAGUAUGUGUAGGAACAGCUAGAGAUCAAAAUUCAAAAUCUUGAUGGACCUUUUGAAU